AACAGUUUACUUGUAAUUAAAAUGUUGAGGUUGGUGGUUGAGGUUGUUAAAGAUCAUGGUGGCUUGUUUGGGGGUAUAAAGGUUGGUGAUAAGCAGAUGGUUUGGAUGAGUCAUGGUGAUGAGGCUGUGAAGUUGUCAGUAGGGUUCGAGGUGGUUGCGAGAAGUGAACAGGGUGGGAUUGCGGUAGUGGAGACUCAGGGCUGGUGGAUUUAGGGUUUAGGUUUUUAUUAAUUGCUUACGGUUUGUAUCUAAUAUAGCUUUUGGGGACUGAGAUGAAGUAUUUUGCAUGUAUAUAUUUGCAGCUGAAGUUUUCGUGGAUUACAGGAGCAAGUGUUGAUUACAUCUUCUGGAAGCCAUAAUUCAUUAGAAAAAUUACAUGACACUGAAUCUGCACUUCCUCCGCUAUCGAAGGCUAUUUGGGGACAAAGAAGUCACUUACAUUUCGCCUACAUAGCCGGUUUUAAAUGGCAUACUCGACUCAGAGCCGGACAAAACCAUUUCGUAUAUAGUAACUUGCCAUGUUGUAUAACUCGUAUGAAGACUGUCAUGAUCCUCCACGUCUGCACAAUGUUGACAAUUCUCUGAUUCAAAAGUUGGAUUUUUGAUUGCUCUGGACGGGCCAAAAAAGAAGAUAGAAGCGGCGUAUGCGGUGUGUCUUAUGACGGUUUGGAGAAUUCGGUUCGGGAGAAACGACAAAGUGUUUAAUAAUAUCUCUGUGGCUGCUCUAAAAAUGGUAGACGAUAUCAAGGAAGCUACUAUGUGGUGGGUGAUUAAAAGAUCCAAGGUGAAAGGUAUAAACCAAGAGAACUUGUAAAAUUUUGCUAAGGUCAAUUUCGGAUAAGUGGGCUGUAGUGCUGGGUUUUUCUUACUGUUUUGUUUACUAGGUCGGGUGUGUCAUGUUUGGUGGGGUUUUCUUUGUGGGUUGGACCUUGCAACAUAUGGGGUUUGUUUGUUUCUUUUUUCUUGUGAGGUAAGUUUAGCCUCUUGUUAAGCUGAUGUUUCCUUUGCUGUUUGGGGAGUGGUUUUAAUAAAGGUUGAUUUGGCU